CGCGUAGGUGGUUUGGUCAGUCAGAUGUGAAAGCCCCGGGCUCAACCUGGGAACUGCACCUGAUACUGCCAAACUAGAGUACGGUAGAGGGUAGUGGAAUUUCCGGUGUAGCGGUGAAAUGCGUAGAGAUCGGAAGGAACACCAGUGGCGAAGGCGAUUACCUGGACCGAUACUGACACUGAGGUGCGAAAGCGUGGGUAGCAAACA
rnacentral:rRNA from 1 species